rnacentral:tRNA from 1 species
GCGAGAGUGGCGGAACUGGCAGACGCGCACGUUUGAGGGGCGUGUGGUGACACCGUACGGGUUCAAGUCCCGUCUCUCGCACCA